rnacentral:rRNA from 1 species
GACCUCAGAGCAGGUGAGAUUACCCGCCGAAUUUAAGCAUAUCAA